GAGUUUGACCCUGGCUCAGAUUGAACGCUGGCGGCAUGCCUUACACAUGCAAGUCGAGCGGAUGACGGGAGCUUGCUCCUUGAUUCAGCGGCGGACGGGUGAGUAAUGCCUAGGAAUCUGCCUGGUAGUGGGGGACAACGUUUCGAAAGGAACGCUAAUACCGCAUACGUCCUACGGGAGAAAGCAGGGGACCUUCGGGCCUUGCGCUAUCAGAUGAGCCUAGGUCGGAUUAGCUAGUUGGUGGGGUAAUGGCUCACCAAGGCGACGAUCCGUAACUGGUCUGAGAGGAUGAUCAGUCACACUGGAACUGAGACACGGUCCAGACUCCUACGGGAGGCAGCAGUGGGGAAUAUUGGACAAUGGGCGAAAGCCUGAUCCAGCCAUGCCGCGUGUGUGAAGAAGGUCUUCGGAUUGUAAAGCACUUUAAGUUGGGAGGAAGGCAGUAAGUUAAUACCUUGCUGUUUUGACGUUACCGACAGAAUAAGCACCGGCGUAACUACUGUGCCAGCAGCCG
rnacentral:rRNA from 1 species